rnacentral:lncRNA from 1 species
CUUCUGCUUAUCUGUCUGUUUACACUUUCAGCUGUCACUGAAAACAGGAGCACCAUUCUUGGGACAUAAAAAAGGAUACGGAUCUUUUAGAUAAUCGAUAGGUAAAAAUAACAAGUAAAAAGAAAAGCCAGCAGUAAGUGUGGCAUCUAUGGUAUACAGAACCACCAAGGAAAAUGCUCAAAGGAGUUAUUGAGAUAAAAGUGAGGCCAUUGAGGGAAGAGCAAUAGCAAUACAAAAAGAUAAAAGAAGAAAUUUAACAAGAGACCAGGUCUUCUUGAAAGAGUGGCCUUCCUAGGUUGUCUACCUUUUGCUGUCUGAUUAUUCUCUUGUCCUUAGAAGACCAGGCCCAGAGCUGUACACAGCUAGACUCUGCUCUCAGAAAGGUGAUGCUGUCCUGGGAUGCCCCACAGGACCAUCAUCCACACCACAGAUGACAUCCUUCAUUUUACCCUAAACAGAUGAAAUGUUCCCUACAGUAUCAUUUAAGUCCCCACAAGCAGAAGUCAGAGACCUUGGAAUGAGAAAUGUGAUGACUAGUUGGAUGGUUUUCACAUCACAAGCAUUAUGUAUAGUUACAUGAUGGUAUGAGAAAAAUAUCUUGCAUCCGGAUGCCCUGUCCUCACAAUGCCUGUCAUACACUGGAUCUGGAUGUUUCUGGAGCCUCUUGAAGUUGGAGAAGUAUUACAAUAAUUUUUGCA